UAGUGGCGAACGGGUGAGUAACACGUGGGCAAUCUGCCCUGCACUCUGGGACAAGCCCUGGAAACGGGGUCUAAUACCGGAUAUGACCAUCUUGGGCAUCCUUGAUGGUGUAAAGCUCCGGCGGUGCAGGAUGAGCCCGCGGCCUAUCAGCUUGUUGGUGAGGUAACGGCUCACCAAGGCGACGACGGGUAGCCGGCCUGAGAGGGCGACCGGCCACACUGGGACUGAGACACGGCCCAGACUCCUACGGGAGGCAGCAGUGGGGAAUAUUGCACAAUGGGCGAAAGCCUGAUGCAGCGACGCCGCGUGAGGGAUGACGGCCUUCGGGUUGUAAACCUCUUUCAGCAGGGAAGAAGCGAAAGUGACGGUACCUGCAGAAGAAGCGCCGGCUAACUACGUGCCAGCAGCCGCGGUAAUACGUAGGGCGCGAGCGUUGUCCGGAAUUAUUGGGCGUAAAGAGCUCGUAGGCGGCUUGUCACGUCGGUUGUGAAAGCCCGGGGCUUAACCCCGGGUCUGCAGUCGAUACGGGCAGGCUAGAGUUC
rnacentral:rRNA from 1 species